rnacentral:lncRNA from 1 species
UGCCCCGGUCCAUGCUUCCGUGUGGCCGGUGCUCUGGUGUGUGUUGAUCGAUGACUGUGUGGUCAUGUAAUCGGUACGUUUCUAUCAAUUUCAAACCUUUGAAGAGGUAGCAAAAGAGUGCAAUAUAUAUACACAUACACAUACACAUAUAGAAGUAUUAAAAUGACCCAGGUUUUUAUUAAAUUGAUCCAGCCCCCACCACUGUUCCCUCGUCCUGACCUCUAGUCCCUUAUAUGACCAUAAUGUAUUGGCAGAAGUCCCAAUAUUGAGAUGGAUAAUGGAAUAGGACAAAUGUGGAACAAAAUAAUAGAGGG